UGAGGCUUUAGGCAAGUAAUUUAACCUCACUGUUUCCCAGUUUCCUUAUUUAUAAAAUGGGGUAAUAGUAAUACUUACAACAUAGGUUUGGGCCAGUUUUUAAAUGAGUUAGAACAUGAGACACUUAACACAGUGCCUGACACACAAAUAUAGACUUAGCAAAUAUUAGCUGUUAUUGUUGCUGUAGUUUACUGGCUGAUUUUUCUGUUCCAGGUUUCUCUCUUCCACAAUUUAUGAAGCCCACAUAAACUGGAAUAAUCUUCAAACACUGGCUUCUGUACAGUAUCUUUUUGCCUGAGUCUCCAGAGUGGUGGCCCACUGUUGCCUUCAGCUGCGGCCACUAUCCUGAUGCUCCUCAUGACCAGCCCUCACAUGUGCUUUGUGCUUCAAUGAAGGGGACACUUGUGCAAUCAGGUAGGAAGAGAUCGAUUUUUCCAGAGUGAUUUAUACCCUCUGAUAAUUGAGCUAUCA
rnacentral:lncRNA from 1 species